CUAAGAAUGACCUGGGGAAUCUUGUUAAAAUGCAGAUUCUGAUUCAGUAGGUCUGAGGUGGGCCUGAGAGUCUAUAAUUCCAACAAGCUCCCAGGUGAUGCAGAU
rnacentral:pre_miRNA from 1 species